rnacentral:lncRNA from 1 species
AAAAAAUAAGCGAGUGGGGAAGAGCCAGCCCCACGCCGGUCCGCCUCCCGCCCACGGCUCGGCCUCCCUCCCGCCUGGCUCGGCGCUCCUCCGCCCCGAGUUCUCCAUCCCCUGGAUCCCGGGCUCGCGGGGGCGCGGAGAAGAGGAUCCAGGAAAGCCAUCUUUGGCCCCUUUACCUUCACAUCUUCCCUGCUGGAACCCAGCCUGGAAAAAUGGUGAGUUGAGCUCCCCCUGGGGGGCUCCCAUGGCUGUCCCCUCCUUCCAGAGGCAUAUAUGGGGGUAAAUGUGGGCCUGGAGAGAUCCUGGAACAUCGUGCUGUCUCAUGGAUGGCAGGCCUUCAGCGUCACUGAGCGUUCACACCUGAAACCAUUAAAGGUUAUUCGCCUUUUAAUUCUGUAUGGUUGCUCUCACUCCUUCCUUAGAGAAACCUCUGAUUUUCAUUUGCGAGACGCUCGGCUGAGCUUGUCAUACCCUAAAAGGUGAUUUCAGUUCUCCGAUGCCAAAGAACCUCUUCCGCUAAUCAAAACACAGCUGCAGAGGCCUGUGUGAUCUGCUAAUGGGCACCCCAACUCUGGGGUAUGUCUGUCUGUACCUGGGAAAAUAGAUAUAAUUAGGAUAACAGAUAUCAUAUGUAUAUGCAAAUGCAGCAGGUAAAAAUGACUAGAAAUGGCUGGAGUUUGCCAAAUCCCAUCAGACCAACUAUGUAGCUUAACCAGACGCUAACACCAUCACCACCAGGCCUUCCCCAGUACCAGCCCUGGUGCCCUUGCUUCAUCUUCUUUUCUCCACCGUGCUGGAAC